GACGAACGCUGGCGGCGUGCUUAACACAUGCAAGUCAAGGGGGCCCGCAAGGGUAACCGGCGAACGGGUGCGUAACACGUGAGCAAUCUGCCUAGAUGUGGGGGAUAGCCGGCCCAACGGCCGGGUAAUACCGCAUACGCUCGUCGACUGGCAUCAGUUGACGAGGAAACUUUCGAGGCAUCUAGAGGAGCUCGCGGCCUAUCAGCUAGUUGGUGGGGUAACGGCUCACCAAGGCUGUGAUGGCUAGCUGGUCUGAGAGGAUG
rnacentral:rRNA from 1 species